rnacentral:lncRNA from 1 species
GCUCACGCACAAUCUAUGCAAUGAUUCAGGUAGGAGAGGAGAAACAAACAAAACAUCAUUGAGUGGAGGAAUAAGCUCUGCAAAUCAUAACGCUCAUAAUCUCAGCUCAGGUACUCCAUCUCCAUUUUAUGUGAAUUAUUUUACAGUAAGUUUUAUAUGGUAAGAGAGAUUACAAAGGGAAAUAAUUAUAAAGUAUAUCCAUUCAAAUUACACUAGAAAGUUAAAAAGAAAAAAAAAGAAAGAAAGUUUGAUAAUAGAAGGCAGCGAUUGAAGUUAGCAUGAUGAUGAUAUGAUCCAUAAGAUUUUUCAUUUGUGCAUAAGAACAGACGUGGACGUUUGCGGUUGAGGGUUGGAUGAGAAUCCGGUUGCGUGUAAAGCCAUUGCUAACAAACAAACCGUUCACCGUAGCCUGCCAGAAAUUUCAAUAUACCACACAAUUUUUUUUAAUAUCAAAAUAUUAAAUUAGUUUUAUAGAAUUGUAUAUGCCCGUUAAUUGAUUUUAAAUUAUUAAAUAUAUUUGUCUCUGAUUAAUUUAUUUUAGAUUUUGAUAUUAUAUUUGAUUUAUAUCAAUUUAAUUAAAAUUUUAGAUUUAAUUAAAUGAUUUAAGAGUUUCAUUUGAGCAUGUCACAAUGUGAAAAUCAUUUACAUGGUCGUCUAAUUAAAGUUGUUGAUUUUUUUUUAUGAUAAUUACUUCAAAAUAUAUAUUUAUGUUCAAUGUUAUUUAUAUGUGAUGUCUUUUUUCGAGAUAUCUAUACUAUAGUGUGAGCUUUUCGAAUGGUUGAGCUUUUAUAAAAAAAAAAUUGAUACUCAUAUAAAUAAGAACAUAUGGUGAUUUUAAAAAUAGAUUAAUGAAAAAAUAGAUUAGAUUUACUUAUGAUAUUUAUAGAUUUAUUUUUCUAUAUAUGAGUCCAAUAAAACAAAGUGAUUACUUCUUGUUCGUACAUAUUUUUCCUAAAUGUGCCCUAUUAUUUCAUAUAUUUGACUGUUAGAAUUGAACUAUAAUAUAACUAAGUAGUUACUACAAAGUUAUAGAAUAAAUUGUUAUAACUAAUUUAGAGGUUUUUUUCACUAACAUAAUAAAUAUAUAUAUAUAUAUAAAUUAUCUUAGUUACUGGAAAGUACCAGUAUUAAUUAAUUAGAAUUUAAGAUUUAGGGUUUAUAUAAUAUGAAAAUUAAAUUUAUAAUAAUUCUAUUAGAAUUAUGAAUAUAUAUAGAUAGAUAGUUAAUGUUAUAAUUUAAAAUUGUACCAUAGUCAUAAAUAAUAAUUCGAACUAUAAGUUUCGCAUCUGAAUCAUAAAAACUAAUAAAAAAUAAAUUUCAUUCUAAAAAUAUUGAAAUAAAAUCCAACUCUAUUGAUACAUUUCAAUUUGGUUUUCAUAUUUUAUAAAAUAUUUUAUUUGUUAAUUUAAUAAAUAAUUUUGCAUUCAUUUUAUUUAUUUUGUUUUGAUCUAAUUAAAUCUAGGACAUAAUUUUUCAUUUUUAAGUUAUCAUCAAGAAAUGACUUAAUUGCUUAAAAUAUAUAAUAAAUAAACAUAUACAAAAUUAUAAAAUCGAGGACGGUGUAAAUUACAAUCUAGCCUUACACUUGAUUAAAAUUAGUUAAAAUUUAUUAAUAUAAAAUCAAUCUAAUCGGAAAAAGAACAGAAAAUUUAUCACAAAUACAUCAUCUCUUUCUAAUUCUCCACACCAAAUUGUUACCUUGUGUUUAAACUAUAGAAGCAUUAACAAUAUUUGAACUCUAUAUAAAUACUAGAUAACAAUUUUUUUAUCUGUCUCUACCAAACUUUAUGCUCUUUACUAUCUUAAUCAAAGUUGUUCCAAAAGCUGCUAACUUCACCCUGAAUUUCUGCAUCUCUGAUUUCGUCACAGUAUACAAAGAUUAUGCGUAAUCUUCAAAGAAUUGUGAAUCCAAGGACAAGUUUCCAAGAACAAGUUAAUAGUGGAUAAGAAUGAGUUUUUCCACCUGGUAUAGAAAAAUAUCCCAAUUCCUCUGCUACUACUAGCCAUUAGAUAUUAACAAAUUUAUGAUUUCUCCAUCAUUUAAUUCUUGGCUAGCAGCUCCAGUGUCUGUAAAGAGUUUGAAAGCAAAGUACUAAAUUAAAUAGGUUCAUAGUUUUUAAAAUUUGUAACUUUUCAGUUUUUAUUUUUAUUUUUAUAAGUUUUAUCAAAAGUUUAUUACCAAACGAAAAAAUUGAUAGAAAAAAAUUAAAUCUUUCAACUUAAAAGUGAAAUAUUUUAAAGACUUUAAUUCGAUUGUGAUUAGUUUCAUCUAAACUGUGUUAUUGGAUACUUGAUAUAACGCUGAAUAUUAUAAAUCUUUCAUUUAAUCAAAAUUAAAUAUCUUUCAUAUCUAGAGAUAAAAAAAAGUUGUCCUUGUAGAAAUAGUUCAUGUGAUACAUUUGAAGGAUAAAUUAAGGACAUUGUUUUACUAAAGAUAGGAAUUUGAGGUGUGUCUUUGGCUACCUUAGUAAAGAAACACAGAUUGAACCAUAGUAUGUUAUUUGUGUUGUACACACCCACUUUUGUGUUAUAGAUGAACACUAAAUUGGGUGGAGUUAGGAAUUAUAAAUAGUCUUUUAUUUAGAUUGUGAUGACAAAAUUUAUCUCAUGUGUUAGUAUAUGUAGUACUAUUAUUUAUGGUACUUUUUGUACCUAUAUGACUGUAUUUAUUAUUUACUGAUAAAUGAAUUCUGACAAAGAUUUAAUGUUCUUUUAUUAUAUAGAGUUUUUGUGAUAUAUUGGUGGACGUAGAGAGUAUGCAUAAUAUAUCAUUAUACAUCAUGUUAUAUGUAUAAUAAAAUUUUGACAUAAGUAGGUGCAAUUAUAAUUAAAUACGUAUAUGGGAAAUUAUACGUACACGUACUCAUAGAUGGAAGACAUUUGAGGGAGGUUAGGUGAUUUGAAUGAGGUCCCUGUUUGACAUCAUAUAAGUUAUGUGCACUCCUUCCAAGGUAUCUUUUUAAAUUAGAUAACCUUUUUGUGUGUCAAUUUACUUAAAAUGGUGUUGACAUGGUUUACGCACAUAAGUUUAUCACUAG